ACUCAUUCUCCGUCCAGUUCUGUUCCCUUGCUGGCAAGGAGUUGUGUUCCUUUGGAGGAGAAGAGGUGUUUUGGUUUUUGGAAUUGUCAGGCUUUUUGUGCUGGUUGUUCCUCAUCUUUGUGGAUUUAUCUAUCUUUGGUCUUUGACGUUGGUGACCUUUGGAUGGGGUUUUUUGUGGACUUCCUUUUUUGUUGAUGUUGAUACUAUUCCUUUCUGUUUGUUAGUUUUCCUUCUAACCAUCAGCCCUUCUGCUGCAGGUCUACUGGAGUUUGCUGGAGGUCCAUUCCAGACCCUGUUUGCCUGCGUAUCACUAGAGGAGGCUGCAGAACAGUAAAGAUUGCUGCCUUCUCCUUCCUCUGGAAGCUGCAUCCUAGAGGGGCACCUGCCAGAGCCAGAGCUCUCCUGUGCUGCAGACCAGAGCUGUUUGUAUUCACCCAUCUUGCCAGCCACCCAACCAUGGCAUGGCAGCGAAGAUGAUUGCCUGCUUAAUCAAGUGACAUUGUGAAAGAUUAAAUCCCACCUGUGCUCUGCAUUGCCUGUGGUUUCGUCACAACCAGUUUCCUCCUCAUUUAGGAAGAAAACACUGUGAAAUAAGCGCAUCAGGUGGUUAUGCAGAAGAAACGACGCCUAACUGGCUUCAGAAUGAGGUUAAUCUGGAGGUCAGAUUGCCCCCAAAACCACCUGAGCCCACACUUGGUAUAACCCUGUUAAAAAACAAAGUGGAACAAACAAAAAUGUUACCUUGACACUGAAGAAAAAAAUAAGUAUGAUUCUUGAUCUCUUGCAUAGAUACACCCUACAGUUGGGGACACUUCCUAGUACUUGUUAAUCUGCCCAAGUGUGAGAUUAAACUAUUUUAAAACCAUAAUUUGAGGAUGAAGCCAAUAAAACUGCUCAUUUGCCUUCAAGAAGCAAAGCCAGUGCUGCAUUGGAUAGAACGUGGGCCCAGAGUGGGGUUUGCUGUUCUUAGCAUACAGGCCAACGAAACUUCUGCUCUUUCUUGUGACCCAUGAGGAUGAAUCACAGAAAAAAAUAAAGCAACAGUUUAGAUUUUGUGUUUUUCUUUUUUUUUUUUUUAUGUGAAAAGGGAAAAUGAGGAGAUGAUACAAUGCUCUAAAGUAGAAAGCGUUGGCUAAACAUCAGGCAAUCUGAGCUCCCAACCAUCUCAUUUUUGGUUUUUUGUUUUUUCAUCAAGAAAGGUCUCAGUUGCCCAGGCUAGAGUGCAAUGUCGUGAUCAUAGCUCACUGCAGUCUCAAACCUCCUGCUUCACCCUCUCAAGUAGCCAGGACUACUAGCUUGGCUAAGUUUUUUAAAGAAUUUUUUGUAGAGAUAGGGUUUCACUAUGUUGCCCAGGCUGGUCUCAAACUCCUGGGCUCAAGCAGUCCUCCUGCCUUUGGGCCUCAAAGCACUGGGAUUACAGGUAUGAGUCACCAUGCCCAGCCCUGUAACCAUCAUGCAUUUGAGUUUUUGAAAGCCACUUAGCAUCUUUUUGCCUUUGUAUUCUCUUCUGUAAAAUGAGAUGACUGAACUACCUGACCAUGUACUAGUGCAAAUUAGACUGUGAGAACAGAGCACCGAACAUUGUAUAUACCAUGCUGGGCCACAGAGUACAGCAGCUGAGGGGCUUGACUGGGCGGCCAGGCUGCCUGAGUUCUGCUCCUUGCCUCAGCCUUUGAGAAGUCUGCCCUUGGCAAAUCCUCCAACUAUUUUGUAUAUCAGUCUCCUAAUAUAAAAAUUAGGAUAAUGCAGCACCUUCCUCAGAAAGUUGUGAGUAUUAAAUGAACCAAUAUGUGUAAAAAUGUUUAGAACAAUGCCUGAUAUGUGGAAAGUGCUAAGUAGUAACUAGUAUUACUAAUGCCAAGCAGGGAAGGGGUUAGUGGGUGGGAACCCUCCUCAUUACUUCUACCAAGUGUUAUUGUACCCAUCUAGGGUAUAAGAACUGUGGAAACCCAGGUUUACACUGUAGAGUUACUCUAAUUAUAGCAUAUCAUGGAGUUAAUUGUGGACCCCAUUUAACAACAGCUUUGUCACAGGGCAGUUUUGCAAGAGUGAGACUGAACUCUAUUGUUUUCAUCCUCAUUAUCUUAAAUGAACAGUUUGCAAUAUGUGAUAAUACCACUGGCAUCUGUUUCUGAAUGUUUCCACUCACAAGACCCAAAACAAUUCCACAAAGAAAAGACUUCUUUCGGUUGUUCUGGAGUCUUUCUAAAACAGCUUCUACUGGGAGAUUAAUUAUAGAAGCCACAGAAUUUCCUGAAAAUGGUAAAACAUUUUAAAGAAAUACUAAGACACUACAUGAUAAAUGACUUGACUCUUUAUUGCCUAACAAUCCAAAAGAAAAAUGCAUGUGUGAAACAGAACAGGAUGUAAUGGAAAUCUAUGUAGAUGGACUAUAAAAUGGAUUUUAUUAACUAUUUACAGUGGCUGUGUAAAUUGUUUUUGUCUGUGCUUGAGAAAGUUCUGUCAUUGUUUUUAGGUCUUUCUUGUUGCUUAUCUUUCAGAUUUGCAGUAUAAAGGUGAGUGGCUCCAAAUGUCAGUGGUUGUCAGCUAGAUCUUCAGGUAAGCCUCCCCACGUACUGCCAAACUUGCUUACGGCCAGACUGUGGCCUUCAGAGAAAACAUCUCUUAAAGAAAGGGAGGAACUGAGAAAAAAAAAAGAGUACCUUUGCAUCCUGGUGAAUGUCUCAUGCAACCACUGUUCUCAGCAUUUUAUCUUUAUUAUAAGAACAGAGCUGGGGUAAGUAGCUGAGCAGUGAGCUAGUCCUUUAAGACAUAACAUAAAAUUGUCUCCACAAUGUGCUCUUCUAAAUAUAACUGCUCCUAUGUCCCAUUUGUGCAUUUUUAAAAGUCCAUUCCAGAGAAAAAUAUUCCAUAUGUUUGGAAAGAAUUUCAAAUUCUCCAGCUUCUCUGGGUAUUGCUACAGUUUGAUUUAUUGUGAAAACUCCAAGAUUUCCUGAAAAUGGUCUAGAACUGAGCCAGUGCUUUUUUACUUUUUACUUUUUUAUAAGGUGAUUUGAUCUUGCCUCAAAAUAUUCAAUUACUUUUUUAUUCUUUGUGGAAUUUACCAAAUAGUUUAUGAAUGGUCAAGACCCCUGGCUUCUCUGCAUUGUUCUAGCUUCUGAUCCAUUCAGGGAACAUGAGGAGAGCCCUUGGGGUAAUGUUGUGGGGCCAGGGCUAGAUUACUAUGUAAGUAUACUAGUUACCUACAAAAUGAGGACACCUCAAAAAAUAUCACUUUGAAAAAAAUAAUUUAAAAAUUGAUAUUUCAAAAGAAGUAAUAAGACAGUUAUCACAGUAGGAAAAAUAUUGGAGCAUUGUUCUGCUUCUUUACACUUAAUUAUGACUUAAUACUGUUUUUAUUUUUAAUUAUAUAUGGAGGUGGCAGCACUGUAAUUUUUUUAGUGCUUAGGUCUUCUAAAAUCUUAAGCCAAUCCUGAUGUGACUCUUACAUGUUCAUGAAGUGGCCCACAUAUGCCAGAUGCUUCUACAUUCUGAGCUUCAUGAGUACAGGAACCCUAUGCCCUACUGCCUUUCUAGCUUCAGUACCCAGAACAAUAUGGGGCACACAGCAAGUACACAAUAGAGACUGUUAUUAAGUCUCUAUGACAGCAAGUUGCUAUUUCUGUUAUUAACAAUUCCAGUGAAUGUUGCUAUUAAGUCAGCUCAGUUUAACUAAUGAAGCCACUAAAUGCCUUAGGUGCUAUAGCUCUUGCCCUUUAUCCAGUAGGGGAGAGAAAUAAAUGUGUUUGAAACAAUUAGCGCAGGCCAGGAACGGUGUUGGGUGCUUUACAUACAUCAAUUCUCUCUUUAAUCUUCUUAUCAAACCCUGAAGUCUGCAUCAGCUCCAUUUUACAUAGAAAGAACCUGAAGCUUAGACAGGUUAAGCAAUCUGACAAAAGUCAUUCAACAGUAAAUGAAAUAGUGGAGCAUCAGACCAAGGUCAGCCUGACCCCUAAACUACUGCUCUUCAUUACACAUGUUGCCAGACCACUUAAAGUUCAAUAGGCUGAUCACUGGUGUUCAAAAACUAAGAUAGAUGUGUGUUGAAAAUAGCCCAGCAAGUUACUAUCAAGUCAUGCUCAGCAUUAAAAAAAAAAAAAAUUAAGGAACCUGUAGUCAAGAUUGCAGAUGGGAGUGAAGUAGGGGGAAUUUCCUGACAGUUUUAGGUCACUAGGUAGCAAUUCCUGGGUCUACAAGUCUUAGAAAUCUCCUGGCCCUUAGGACUCUAAGCCCUUCAUUAUAGUUUUGAGAAGAUCUGGAUUUGGGAUAGAGCUAAGGGCAUAUGCCUAAGGGCAGUUUCAUAGGACUUGGAUUUUGCCCCACAUUUUCUGAGCUGUGAAGGUGGGGUGGGGUGAGGAAGUAGUGAGCCCCUAAGAAAUGGUACAACAAUGCUGACAAAGGAAAGCGAAAAGGGAGGAAAUAUUCCUCAUUCUCUUUUCUUGUACUUCAAACACUGGCUCAGUUCUAGACCAUUUUCAGGAAAUCCUGGAGUUUUCACAAUAAAUCAAACUGUAGCAAUACCCAGAGAAGCUGGAGAGCAAAGCCUACGGGUUGUAGGUGAGGAAGGAAGCUGAGAAGUGAAGUAGUCUCUCCUUUCUACCUGUUGGACAUCUAUAUUUCUAGGUGGCAUUAAACUAACAAACUCUUCUUCCUAACAAUAGAAAGACAAGAGUUUGAACUAGAAGAGGAGAAGGUAUUUGCUGCAUACAUGAAGAACUGUCUUAAAUGGAAGGCAGAGGCAUGGAUCCUGUGAAGUCUUUUGAAAUAGAAGCCAUAAUUACCAGUCCCAUUGGUAUGGGGUAGAGCUAAAGUGCAGGGAGGUGAACAGAGAGCCUUUCAAAUUUCUUCUAGCCAGAAAUUUCUAUAAUUAUAUGGUUCCUUUGGUGAAUUCUCCACUCCAUCUUACUCUUUUUCAGUCUACCUUUUCAUUGGCUCCGUUUGUAAUAGAAAAGCAAAAGUUAUUCCCCAGUUGUAUAAGGCCGAGUCCAGGUCGUACAGAAUAAUGAAAUGGGAAAGCUCAGAGACCCUAAUGUUAGACAAUGAAACAAGAAACUCACAGACCUCUGGACAUGCCAUGAAAUGGGAAAAUGUGCAUUUUACCUCCUCCACAGCACAUGGAAUUUUGAAGACCAAGGAGAGAUAGGAGAACGGGUCAUCAUAGGGGUUGAUGGGCCAGCUUUAUUCUAAAUGACUGAAGACUUCUGUUCUUUUCAACAAACACAGUCCUCCAAUUAGGAGCUGCAAAUAAGAUUAUAUGCCCUGAAUAAGUCUGAAAAGGUCCUUUUAUAAUUAGAAAGUUUGUGUGUGGGAAGUGGAAGCAGCAUGAAGUGCUCACUGUGGCUUUAUUAAAAGAGUGACAUGAAGAUUUUCCCAAAUCCUCAUCUGAGUGCUCGAAAAUGAUAAAAUAAAAAUUAUGAAAAACUGUAUGCAUAUUCCAUUUCUUCUUUUUCUUUCUGAAAGCUUUCACAUUUAUGCUAUAGAAACAAGUCAAUGGUUUUUUAAAAUUUUAUCAGGCAUAUUCGAAACAGACUGUCAUUUGAUAGUGUGCAGAUUGUUAAAAUACAAGUGAAAAUGAUUUCAAUGAAGGGAUGAAGUUUAAUACAGUGCAUACUUUAUAUUUUCAUUUUAACACUUUUAUGAUCGUCACUCCAUCACUACAGUGACAUAAUAUUUUGUUAAAUAUGGUUGGACUUAACUUAUAUUAAGCUUCCUGGUCUGUGGACACACAGGACUGAUUGUGCUCAGCUACUCUUCUAGACCAAUCAGACUUUAGUAUGUAAAUGGACAUUUCCUGGAUGAACCAAUGACCGUCCCCCACGCCCCCCCGCCCUCCCCCCCCCCCCCCCACACACAUUGCACUCGGGACCCAGUUGCAUACAGCCCUUACAGCUUCACAGAAGGAAGAUGCCUGCUGGACACAGCUUCCUAUGAGCUAAGACGGGAAGUCAAGGCUGGCAGGAAAGAGGAAGAGCUGAGAGGCUAGAUAAUAAUAGGAAAAUAACAGUUCCAGGCACUGUGGACAGAACCACAGCCAAUCUGCGGCUCAGCCACUUCCACAAAUAUAUUUUGAGUGCUUACAAUGUGCCAGACACUGUCCGGGGGCUGGAGAUACAGCAGUGGACAGAGACAGAUAUCCCUGUCCUCAGAGAGCUGACAUUCUAGACUUUCUGAACUAAUGUGACUCCAGUGGAUUGUUAUUUUUUGUAGUUUAAGUUAUGAAAAAAUUAUUAUUCGGAGAUAAAAUUAUUUAACAAUAUUGAAUGUGCUCUUUCCAGCUGCAUUCUCACUACCCCACUCCUAUCCCAUCCAGAAAUUUAGACACACUCCUCCCUGUAGGGAUCACCAUGCCACACAGACUAUAAAUGUGUUCAGCUGCUGGGCUGUUCUACUGAGAGGACUUUUAUGUCUAGAUGGAACCAUAGGCUUUACAUCAUAGCAAGGUGUAAUUUUGACAAAUGGUUCUAAGUCCUGGUUGCACAAUAGAGUCAUCUGGGGAAGCUUUAUAAAAACACCUAAUGCCUAUGAUCCCUUGAAUAUCACACCGACAGCACAGGAAACAGAAGCAAAAGUAGACAAAUGGGGCUGCAUUGAACUAAAAAGUUUCUGCACAGCAAAGGAAACAAUCAGCAGAGUGAAAAGGCAACCUGUGGAAUAGGAGAGAAUAUUUGCAAACCAUAUAUCUGAUAAAGGGUUAGUAUGGAAAAUAUGUAAGAAACUCAUACAAUUUAAUAGCAAAAAAAUCAAUAGCCUAAUUUAAAAAUGGGAAAAUGACUUGAAUAGACAUUUCUCCAAAGAAAAUAUACAAAUGGUCAACAGGUGUAUGAAAAGAUGCUCAACAUCAGUAAUCAUCAAAGAAAUGUAAAUCAAAACCACAAUAAAAUACCAUCUGACACCGGUGUGGACAGCCACUAUUAAAAGAAAAAAAAGGAAAAGAAGAAACAGAAGGAAAGAAAAGAAUAAAUGUUGGUUAGGAAAUGGAGAAACUGGAACCCUUGUACGCUGUUGGUGGGGAAAAAAGAUAGAGCAGCUGCUAUGAAAAACGGUAUGGAGAUUCCUCAAAAAAUUAAAAAUAGAGCUACCAUAUGAUCCAGCAUUCCCAUGUCUGGGUAUUUAUGCAAAAGAACUGAAAUCAGGAUCUUGAAGAGAUAUUUGUCCUCCAUGUUUCUUGCAACACUACUCACAAUAGCUAAGAGGUAGAAACAACCUAAAGGCCCACCAACUGAUGAAUGGAUAAAGAAAAUGUGGUGGGUGCAUCCAGUGGAAUAUUAUUCAGCUUUAAAACAGAAGGAAAUCCUGACACAUGCUACAACACAGAAGAACUUGAGGACAUUAUGAUAUGUGAAAUAGGCCAGUCACAGAAAGACAAAUACUGUAUGAUUCCACGUGUAUGAGGUAUCUACUAAAGCAGUCAAACUCAUGGAAGGAGAAAUGUGAAUGGUGAUACCAAGGACUAGUGAGGGAGAGAAAUGGGGAGCUGCUGUUCAAUGAUUAUAGACUUUCAGUCAUGCAAGAUGAAAAAUUUCUAGAGAUUUGCACAACAGAUAUGUAUAACAAUGGGCAUGUAGUUAACAAUACUGUACUGUACACUUAAAAAUUUGUUGAGAGGGUAUAUUUCAUGUAUGUUGUUGGGUUUUUUUUUACCAUAAUAAAAACAAAAAUGCAAACAAAAAACACCUAAUGCCUGGCUCCGCUCUAACCAAUUAAAUCAGAAUUUCUGGGGGUUGGGUGUUGGGCAUCCCUUUGUUGUUUUUGAUGAUGUUGUUUUUCCUCUUUUAGCUGUGCACAUUAGAGAGCUUCAUGCUAAAAAGUCUCCAUAAAACAUUAUCAUCUUCUUCUUCUUUUUUUUUUUUUUUUCUUGAGACAGGGUCUCACUCUGUCACCCAGGCUGGACUGCAGGGACCCAUUUUGGCUCACUGCGGCCUCAACCUCCUGGACUCAAGCAAUCCUCCCACCUCAGCCUCCCAAGCAGCUGGGACCACAGGCGUGCGCCACAAUGCCUGGCUAAAAUAGUUUUGUUUUUUUGUUUGUAGAUAUGGGGUUUCUCCAUGUUUCCCAGGCUGGUCUCGAACUCCUGAGCUCAAGCAAUAUGCCGAUGUCAGCCUCCCAAAGUUCUGGAUUACAGGCAUGAGCCACUAUCUUCUUUUUUUAAAAUAUCCAUCCCUCAUCUCAUAUUUGCUCUCUAACAAUAACCGUAAUACUUAAUAAUAUCUGUUUUAAUCAAUGGCACCAUUGUCCUUCAAGUUACCUGCCUGGAAAUGUGAAUGUCAUACUAAAUUCACUCCAACUGCCAGUCAUCAAUAGUGUUAAUUCUACAUCUUAAAGAUCUAUCCAUCCCCACCACUCCAACCACAUCUUUAGGAUGGGUUUUUCUCACUUCUAAAAUUGAUAUCUAGUUAUGUUGCUCCACCUUUGAAAAUUUUCACCAAAUAGCCUAACUUUCAGAAUGAACUUUAAACUAAAGCUAAUAUGCCUCUUUUGCCUACUCUAUCCACUGAAAUAGAAGGAAGGAGGGUCAACUGAAAAGAGGUAAGCUUUACAUAGUAUAUUUUAUAUGCCUAUCAUUCAUAUUUCUUUCUGAGUACUAAUAAAAUUAGGGUUUGGGUUUUGACUGGACCUUGCUAUUCUAAACGUUGCAAUUGAUUUCUAUAUGGCUAUGCAUGUCCUGCCCAAGUCUACAUGAUCUUACCCUUGCCAACUGCUCAGCCUCAUCUUCACAUGCAAGCAAUGCUCCAUCAUUUCCAGUCUCCUCUCAACUCCUCAGAAGAGCCAUCUCUCUGCCAUUUGAACAUUGGCACAGGUUACCCAAAAAGAGAUGCUCUAGAGGAAAUGGCACAAAGCCAUAGAAUUUUAAUUGCAGUUUGUAAUUACAAAUGUGAGUAAGUCAAAGUUUGCAAAAUCUGUAAAACUGAGAAAUUACUAUGAAUUUUGCAACAAUGACAAGAAUAGUUGUGAGUAGGUCCACACAAACAGAUGAGUUAUAUAAAUACAGGAAGCAACUUUUCUCACCCAUCCCCAACCACUACAACCAAAGCCAAAAUAUACCUGUUGGCUACCACCCACUAAAAUAUGAGCGGGAGAGGUCAAAUGAGAAGAGGUGAGAUUUAUAUAGCAUAUUUUGUAUCCUUAUAAUUAAUAUUUCUUUCUGAGUACUAACGAAAUUGGAAUUUGAGUUUUAAGUGGGCCUUGCUGUUCUAAACGGUGCAAUUGAUUUGGAUAUUGCUAUUGAUUUGCUUUUUAGGCUAUUAUCUACUUGACAACCAGGAAGAAUGAUCUUCUUUGGAUCUGACCUGCCAGAUUUGAUUCCCAAGGAAUGAUGAACAUCCAUUAGAGGGUCCAUAUAUAUUAAUGAGCAAGAGGGUGUUGAACUGCAUACUCUAGAAAACAACAACAAAAUGAAACUCAGAGUGACCUGCACAGACCUAUUGAUAACAGCCAGUUCUCAUAGAGCAUUUUCACAUCAAUCUUCUGAGACAGACAGGGUAUGAUCAUCCCCAGGAAAAUGCAGUUUCGAGAGGUGAAGGAUGUCGUUUACAUUUCUGGCAUCACAUUUGUAUCAUGCAUGUUACUUCCUAACAAUGCGACAUUACACCUAAACAGACAUGGAAAGAAGGACCAUCUAUGGAGCAGAAUCAGUCUCCUGACUCCAAAGGAUAUGAGAGAGGGUGUAGAAUGGUAGGGAAAGGCUGGAUAGACCCGGGUUGGAACCCUGCCUCUGUAUCUUAUUUUCCAAGUGUCCUUGACCUUGGUAUGUUACAUAAACUUAGCAAGUCCAAGUUUCCUGUUUAUGACAAAUUACAUCAAUAAUAUUUAGUCCAUAGGGUUGUUGUGAAGAACUCAAAAAGAUUGUUUAUUAAAUUCUUGCCUGACAUCUAAUAAAGGUUCAGGGCCGGGUACAGUGUAUGUUUCGGGAGGCUGAGGCAAGAGGAUCCCUUGAGGCCAGGAGUUCAAGACCAGCCUGGGCAAUAUAGUGAAAUCCUGUCUCUACAAAAAACUAAAAGAUUAGCUAACCAUGAUGGUGUGCGCCUAUAGUCCUAGCUACUCAAGAGGCUAAAGUAGGAGGAUCAUUUGAGCCCAGAAGUUCAAGGUUACAGCGAGCUAUAAUUGCAUCACUGCACUCCAGCCUGAGCAACACAGCAAGACCCUGUCGCCCAAAUAAUGAUAAUAAUAAUAAUGGCUUAAUGAUGGGAGCCCAUGUACUAUUAUUGUCCUUCUUCAAAUGGAUGGGGGAAAAUUAAUAAAGACUACCACUCACUGAGCAUCGACUAUAUACCUUGUAUAUACCUGCCUCUAAUUCUUAAAACCAUGCUGACAGAGCAGUAUCAUUAUUCCCAUUUUACAGACAAGCCACACAAUCACCAUGCGGUAGAGUUAAGGUUCAAUUCAGGUUUGUUUCCCUUGAAAGCCUAGGUCCUUUGUACUAUCCUGCACUGCCUCCUCACCUAAAAACCCAAUUCAACUAGUCAUAUGAAUGCUGGCAAUUUUCAAUAUGGAAUUUCUCUUGAAGAAGCUUGUUCUGACUGCCAGCCUCCUGAAAGACAAUUUUCACAAUGUUAUCAUAAUUGAUCGUGAACCGGGGACACUAUCUCGGCAUCUCACUAAUGACAUUCAUAAACCUUAGUCUUGUCCGGGUUAUUCCACACACCUGGUUUUGAGUGGCACACAGGUGUGAAACCCUCUGAUUCAGAAACUAAUAUCACCUAACGGUUCUAGCAAAAAGUUUGAUCUCUAAGUCAAUAUUUGCCAGUGUAGAGCCAGCAUGCUAUCUCCAGUGGAGUUGUUUGCUAUCCUUUCUGGUGCUCUCCUUUCUUAGUUUAGUCUCUGGUGUGAGCUCUUGGCAGCAUGAGUAUUACAUGAGUAAUGAAGAACACAUCAUAGUUACACAUCAGCCAAACUACCCACUCCUAGCUCCCAUAUGUAGCCUGACAUUUUACCCUUGUACUGUACUCUGGGAAGUUCAAAAGUGCUUGGUAAAAGACUCAGCAGAGGCAAUUAUGUGUAAGUUACUCCAACUGCCAUCUCCAGGAUGAACAUUUCUGAAAUUGUCUUAGUAUAUGAGGUUAGAAUGGUCAAGAAAUCACUUAACUUUUAUGAGUCAAGUCAUCUCCUGUGUUAAAUGAAGGACUUGGAUUAUGUUGGGUUCUUUCCAGCUCUACUAUAUUUUAGUUACAUUUUUCUACAUGAUCACACAACCCUCUGGUCUCCUCAAAAGUAGAAGAUAAUAUUGGAAUACAUGAUAAUAAAUUAUACCUAUUAUAUUAGGUUUCUCUAGAAGGACAGAACUAAUUGGAGAUAUAUAUAUAUAUGUGUGUAUGUGUAUAUAUAUGUACAUAUAUAUAAAGGGGAGUUUAUUAAGUAUUAACUCACAUGAUCACAAGGUCCCACAACAGGUCAACUGCAAGCUGAGGAGCAAGGAGAAUGAGUCUGAGUCCCAAAAUUGAAGAACGCAGAGUCUGAUGUUUGAGGGCAGGAAGCAUCCAGCAUGGGAGAAAGAUGUAGGCUGGGAGGCUAGGCCAGUCUAGUCUUUUUAUGUUUUUCUGCUUGCUUUAUAUUCUGGCUGUUCUGGCAGCUGACUAGAUGGAGCCCACCCAGAUUAAGGGUGGAUCUGCCUUUCCCAGCCCACUGACUCAAAUAUUAGCACCCUCACAGACACACCCAAGAUCAAUACUUUGCAUCCUUCAAUCCAAUCAACUUGACACUCAGUAUUAACCAUCACACCUAUAUUCAGGAAAUAUUUAUAUUGAUUAUUUUUAAAUCCUGUAUGAAUUUUAUGAGGUUGAAUAGAUUACAGGCACUUAGAGUAAAAAUAAUCUAACCCUAAACAAAAAUGUGUAUGAUACAUGUGUGUACCACUCAGUGAUUAUAAUUAUUGGUGAUAAUGUGAUAAUGGAUCACUAAAUAGUGACCUCAUUAUGAGUGCCACUUUAUUUCAUAAAAAUAAUAAAUGUAUAACAACAUAAAAAAUGACAACUAACAUAUUUUAAAAAUACUUAAGUGCACCAUGACGGCAAAAAUGUUCUUUUAAAUUUCAUUUUCCUAUAACUUACAUGAUUUCAAGGUUGAUUUAAAAAACACCCUUAAUAAAACAAAUCUUAUUUUAAAUUCGUUCAGAAAUGUUUUGCUUUUCUAACUAAAAUUGAUUGUCUUAAACUUUCCUACUAAUCAUUUCUCAAGAAAAGACUUAUGUGAAACAUUCAUUAAAAUAGAUUUGCAGUCGCAUUUUGUGAGGCAGGGGAUUGAAGUAAGCAUACUUAAUCUACUAUUUUGAUGGAAUCCAAAGGAUUUUGUUAAACGCUGAAGUACUUUGAACCCAAGUAUUUAAGCUUCGAAUCAAGCUUUAAGCACUAGGGGAAAUGUAAGUCAAAUUUUGAUUCAAGUCAACCUUAGAUCCUUAGCUGAAAAAGUACUUGUGUUCUUAAAAAUAUAUAUCAGAUCUGAUUCUUGAAUGUAUUUUUGUGUGCACACAAACACAUGUACUGUCUUCUGCGAAUUCUGUCAAACCAACUGAUCGUUCAUUUUGAGACAUUAAAAAAAUCAUUGUUUCUAUCUUUAUUUAAUGAAUACUUUUCAUUCAAUAUUUACUUGUGCCAAAUGCAAACCCCAGAACAGCUCAAAGUAAAAGCACCAGAAGACAUAAACAACAACCAAGCUAUCAAGGAAUCAGAUAAAUUUUAAGGGGAGGAAGAAGCUCCAUUGGGCUUUUGAAAUGAAGUCAUCAUAGAGCCAAAACACUGACCUCUUCUCUGGUGUCACAGAGACAAACACAUCAACCAAUUGCAGACUAGGUCCUCUUAGUUUAGGAUUGAGUCUUAUUUGUUUGUAUCUCUCCAGCACCCAAAAUACUGACCAAUACAUAGCAGGUGUCCCCCCAGAUGUCCUUUCUUUCGGGAUCAUAAACGUGACAUUGAAAUAUACCUGAGACAUACAUGAAGUUAUUGCUUACUAGCCCCAUUAUCAAUAAGACUCAGGGUAUUUGGGGCUAUUUCUGAUUCAUAAAUUAUCAGGUCUCUCUGAUGGAGGUUGCUGGCACCAAGGGGGGGCUUUCAAGGAUUUUGCCCUAUGUUCCAUUUCUCUCCUAUC
rnacentral:lncRNA from 10 species